GUACACUCCUGCGGGAGGCAGCAGUGGGGAAUUUUGGACAAUGGGCGAAAGCCUGAUCCAGCAAUGCCGCGUGAGUGAAGAAGGCCUUCGGGUUGUAAAGCUCUUUUGUCAGGGAAGAAACGGUGAGAGCUAAUAUCUCUUGCUAAUGACGGUACCUGAAGAAUAAGCACCGGCUAACUACGUGCCAGCAGCCGCGGUAAUACGUAGGGUGCAAGCGUUAAUCGGAAUUACUGGGCGUAAAGCGUGCGCAGGCGGUUUUGUAAGUCUGAUGUGAAAUCCCCGGGCUCAACCUGGGAAUUGCAUUGGAGACUGCAAGGCUAGAAUCUGGCAGAGGGGGGUAGAAUUCCACGUGUAGCAGUGAAAUGCGUAGAUAUGUGGAGGAACACCGAUGGCGAAGGCAGCCCCCUGGGUCAAGAUUGACGCUCAUGCACGAAAGCGUGGGGAGCAAACAGGAUUAGAUACCCCAGUAGUCC
rnacentral:rRNA from 1 species